ensembl:lncRNA
GCCUCGGUGUGCUACAGCCUCGGUGUGCUACAGACUCUACAGCCUCUGUGUGCUACAGCCUCUACAGCCUGUGUGCUACAGCCUCGGUGUGCUACAGACUCUACAUCCUCUUUGUGCUACAGCCUCUACAGCCUCUACAUCCUCUGUGUGCUACAGCCUCUACAUCCUCUGUGUGCUACAGCCUCUACAUCCUCUGUCCUCUACAGCCUCUGUGCGCUACAGCCUUGGUGUGCAUGUGUGUCAUCUCAGACACCAGCUAGCAGCCUGCCCUACAUGGAGCAGAGUCUCUCUCUGUCUCUCUGUCUCUCACCCUCUGUCUCUUUCUUCUAGUAAAUAUGACCUAUAAUUACAAUAUGUUUAAUUAUGUUAGGAAGUAGCUUUUUUGUGUUUGAAUGGUGUGGGCAUUCCCCAGCAACAGAAAGGUGUGGGCGUAUACUGGUCAUUAAAGUAGACCACUGAUUGGCCAGCUCGGCCAGAAUCCACAACAUUAUUUGGGUAUGAGUUAACAGAAUAUGAACUUUUAAAAGUGAGAUUUUCACUGGAAAGAUGCUUUAAAUUGGUGCCCUGGAAUCCAAAUGGAUAUGAUCCCUUUCACCAUAGUAAAUGUUGAAACGGAGAAUCUGUUUGGAGUCGAGGCUAUUAAGUUGGAGUCUUAUGCUGUGGAAAACAUCAAUGAUCCCAACACCUUCCUCCUGCUCCUCCCAUCAUCUCAUCAGUAUGUUGGAGAGUCUGGGCAAAGGUCUAUUCUUUUUGGGGAAAUGGUAUUAAAGUAUUUGUUAGAUUUAUGUAAAGAUUUAGGCUAUAGAUUACCACAAAAUCUUCCCCAAAAACAUCUUGGUGUAAAAUUGUAAGAUUAUAUAGUUGCCUCAAUAGUCUGGUGAAAAACAAUCAAACACAACUCAACAUCAGUCUGAGACACAAACCGGCUCCUUUUAUACUUAAUGUAGUUCUACUUCUAUAAAAUACACUGUCCAUGUAAUAUCUACCCAUAUUCUUGGAAUGAUGUUUAUUUACGUCCUUCAAAGAGUCCUGAAUGUUUUAAUAUGUUGCCAAGGUAGUGACUGAGAGAACCUGCGCCAGGUAUUUCAAGUCCGUUUCAACAGAAUGAUUUCCAUCCCAGCCGUAGUGACUCGGGAUCAGUGACGCAGUGGGUCAGGAUCGGGUAGAUCCAGAGACAUGUCUGUCUCUCAGGAUGUCGGUGGCAUAAUGACUUGACUAGCUGGGUCCUACAGGGGUCGUUCACUGAGCAGGUAGAUUGAGGUGAGUUCAGUUAAAUAGAAACAGACCCGACUGUCUUUUUUCUCUCAGGAUGUGAGUAGAGAUGUAAUAAUGAGGAACAGGGAUAUACAGGUGUUUGAGCUGGAGGGACCAGAGCAUGUUCUAACAGAUAAGAGACCGAUUCAGCAGUGAGUCAGGCCAGAUACAGGUGGAUCUACAUGGACCUGACUGUUUCAGGAUGUGGGUAGACUGCCUGCAUAUUGAGUAAAUAGGUUCUACAGGUGGUUGAGCACAAAGGAGGAGGGGUCAGUCACAGCAGAUUAAAAGGGACAGGUGUGUCAUUGAUGCUAGCUGUCAGAUACGGGCUGAAGGGAAGGCUGGAUCCUAGGAGUUUGUCUGACUAAUCAUUCCUCCACAUGCUCAGGCCUGAAUUUGUUUGUGUUGAAAGUAAGGAGUAGGUUAUAUUGAACCAGUUAUUUGGGUCUACAGUGAACAGACUAGCCUAGUGCUGUUUUCCUGGUAAAGAAAUGGUUAAAAGGACCACCAAUGAAAACUCUUUCAAUAAGUAAGACACAAUUUUGUGUCAAAUUAGGGCUGAUGAAAACAACCUCUAAACCGGCGAUUCAUUUAGCCUAACCCAGGGAUGUCUUUGUAAAGGUAGUUGUUACCCACUCCGUCCCGUGUGCCCAAUCUCUCACUGGCCUCAUUCAGGGCUGUAUUAAAACCAAACCAUUGUACAGCGUGUGUGUGUGUGUGUGUGUGUGUGUGUGUGUGUCUGUGUGUGUGUGUGUGUGUGUGUGUGUGUGUGUGUGUGUGUGUGUGUGUGUGUGUGUGUGUGUGUGUGUGUGUGUCUGUGUCCCCACAGUAAAUAGGCCGUUAAAGUGCAGUUUUCAUACAAGGCUGGUCUCCAAGAGGAUGAAUCACUGUCUCCUCCCUCCCUCACUCAUUCUCUCCCUCUCUUCUCGGUGCCCAUUCUCUGCUCUCAUCCCCCUCUUCUCUGAGGUUGAAUUAAGGAAACAGAUAGAAAGCUCUCUUUCCUUGUCCAUGUCUCCGUGUCAAUUACUGAAUUAUCUGCGCUGUGCCCCCUCUCACUUUCACUUGGUCUCUCUCUCACUCUUUCCCUCAUGUAUCUCUCCCUCUUUCCCUUUCUCUCUUUCUUGCUCUCUCCCUCAGUCCCUCGCUCUCUCUUGAUCAUGCUGUAUCCAUCUAUAAAUAGUUCUCAUGUGGGAUGGGGGUGUUUGCAGCCGUCUCGUGAUUUACAUUUCAUUUUCACCUCUGGAUUAUUUAUUUACCUCCCAUGAACCUGGCUCCCACUCUCCUCUCUGUCUUUCUCUUCCUCUCUGCUCCUCUCUGCCUUUCUCUUUCUCUCUGCUCCUCUCCUCUCUGCCUUUCUCUUCCUCUCUGCUCCUCUCUGCCUUUCUCUUCCUCUCUGCUCCUCUCUGCCUUUCUCUUCCUCUCUGCUCCUCUCUG